UACGGAGGAUGCGAGCGUUAUCCGGAUUUAUUGGGUUUAAAGGGUGCGUAGGCGGGAUGCCAAGUCAGCGGUAAAAAUGCGGUGCUCAACGCCGUCGAGCCGUUGAAACUGGCGUUCUUGAGUGGGCGAGAAGUAUGCGGAAUGCGUGGUGUAGCGGUGAAAUGCAUAGAUAUCACGCAGAACUCCGAUUGCGAAGGCAGCAUACCGGCGCCCUACUGACGCUGAGGCACGAUAGCGUGGUAUCGAACAGG
rnacentral:rRNA from 1 species